rnacentral:rRNA from 1 species
AUUGAACGCUAGCGGGAUGCCUUACACAUGCAAGUCGAACGGAGUGGCGAACGGGUGAGUAAUGCAUCGGAACGUGCCCAGUAGCGGGGGAUAACUACGCGAAAGCGGAGCUAAUACCGCAUAGUAUUGGAGCAGCCUUGAGCGGAUUAGUUAGUGGUUGGGGUAACGCCUUACCAAGGCGACGAUCCGUAACUGGUUUGAGAGGACGACCAGUCAAACUGGACCUGAGACGAGGCCCAGACUCCUCUGUGAGGCGGCAUUGGGUAAUUUUGGACAAUGGGGGAAACCCUGAUCCAGCCAUCCCGCGUGUGCGAUGAAGGCCUUCGGGUUGUAAAGCACUUUUGGCAGGAAAGCGGUACCUGCAGAAUAAGCACCGGCUAACUACGUGCCAGCAGCCGCGGUAAUAC